AGUGAACGCUGGCGGUAGGCCUAACACAUGCAAGUCGAACGGCAGCACAGUAAGAGCUUGCUCUUACGGGUGGCGAGUGGCGGACGGGUGAGGAAUACAUCGGAAUCUACUUUUUCGUGGGGGAUAACGUAGGGAAACUUACGCUAAUACCGCAUACGACCUACGGGUGAAAGCAGGGGACCUUCGGACCUUGCGCGAUUGAAUGAGCCGAUGUCGGAUUAGCUAGUUGGCGGGGUAAAGGCCCACCAAGGCGACGAUCCGUAGCUGGUCUGAGAGGAUGAUCAGCCACACUGGAACUGAGACACGGUCCAGACUCCUACGGGAGGCAGCAGUGGGGAAUAUUGGACAAUGGGCGCAAGCCUGAUCCAGCCAUACCGCGUGGGUGAAGAAGGCCUUUGGGUUGUAAAGCCCUUUUGUUGGGAAAGAAAAGCAGCAGGUUAAUACCCCGCUGUUCUGACGGUACCCAAAGAAUAAGCACCGGCUAACUUCGUG
rnacentral:rRNA from 1 species